rnacentral:lncRNA from 10 species
GCAGGGGACCCAGGAGGUGCUGGCAGCUGCCUGAACUGUCCGGGUGUUACUCUUGUUUCUAACCAGAAAAUAAGGUCACUGGCGUGUUGAUGCCCAAGCAAACAGGUGUUAGAGGUGCUCCUACCCAUCAAAUUCAACAAUGGUUUCCACUGACGCAUAGAAAAACAAUGGUGUUUGCCUACUUAUUUUGCAACAGGCUGCCAUACUGUCUUAUUCUAAUUAAUUUUGAGUUUGUCUACUUUGAAAACCUAAGACAACGGCUGUAUCCACUCAAAACAUUCAUUUUGCAACCUCCUAUCUGAGAGUUAUGCCCUGCCUCUUUUUCUUUCUUUUUU